rnacentral:rRNA from 1 species
CCCUUAGAUGUCCGGGGCCGCACGCGCGCUACACUGAAGGAAUCAGCGUGGCUUUCUCCCUGACCCGAAAGGGUUGGGAAACCCGUUGAAUCUCCUUCGUGAUAGGGAUUGGGGCUUGAAAUUGUUCCCCAUGAACGAGGAAUUCCCAGUAAGCGCGAGUCAUAAGCUCGCGUUGAUUACGUCCCUGCCCUUUGUACACACCGCCCGUCGCUACUACCGAUUGAACGGUUUAGUGAGGGCCUCGGAUUGGUCUCGGCCCGCUCUCUACCGGGCGGCGCCGUUGGUCGAGAAGACGCUCGAACUUGAUCGUUUAGAGGAAGUAAAAGUCGUAACA